rnacentral:rRNA from 1 species
UACGUAGGUGACCAGCGUUGUCCGGAUUUACUGGGCGUAAAGAGCGCGCAGGCGGUCGUUCAAGUCGAGUGUGAAAGCCCCCGGCUCAACUGGGGAGGGUCACUCGAUACUGAUCGACUUGAAGGCAGGAGAGGGAAGCGGAAUUCCCGGUGUAGUGGUGAAAUGCGUAGAUAUCUGGAGGAACACCGGUGGCGAAGGCGGCAUCCUGGACCGGCAUUGACGCUGAGGAGCGAAAGCCAGGGGAGCAAACGGG